rnacentral:rRNA from 1 species
CAGUAGCCGCGGGAAUACGAAGGGGGCUAGCGUUGCUCGGAAUGACUGGGCGUAAAGGGCGCGUAGGCGGUUUUGACAGUCAGAUGUGAAAUUCCUGGGCUUAACCUGGGGGCUGCAUUUGAGACGUCAAGACUAGAGUGUGAGAGAGGGUUGUGGAAUUCCCAGUGUAGAGGUGAAAUUCGUAGAUAUUGGGAAGAACACCGGUGGCGAAGGCGGCAACCUGGCUCAUUACUGACGCUGAGGCGCGAAAGCGUGGGGAGCAAACAGGAUUAGAUACCCCUGUAGUCCCUGUCUCUUAUAC